AUCGCUUCUCGGCCUUUUGGCUAAGAUCAAGUGUAGUUAUCUGUUCUUAUCAGUUUAAUAUUAGACAUCCUGGAACAAGCUCUCUGUUGCCACAGUCCUGUUGCCUUUCCAGAGUUGGUGGAAGACUGUACUACGA
rnacentral:snRNA from 1 species